rnacentral:tRNA from 1 species
GUUUAACUUAAUGGUAGAGCACUCAGCUGGUAUCUGAAGGAUACAGGUUUGAUUCCUGUAGC